rnacentral:rRNA from 1 species
UACGUAGGUGGCAAGCGUUGUCCGGAUUUAUUGGGUUUAAAGGGUGCGUAGGCGGUUUUUUAAGUCAGUGCUGAAAUACUCCAGCUUAACUGGAGGGGUGGCAUUGAUACUGGAAGACUUGAGUACAGAUGAGGUAGGCGGAAUUGACGGUGUAGCGGUGAAAUGCAUAGAUAUCGUCAAGAACACCGAUAGCGAAGGCAGCUUACUGGGCUGUAACUGACGCUGAUGCACGAAAGCGUGGGGAGCAAACAGG